AGGAAGAGAAGCUCUGGUGUUUUUCCUCCAUCUGCGGGCCACCGCAUGACUCUAAACAAGCCGUGGGCGCGGGGAGGCGGCCCAGCAAGGUUCGGAGGCGCCGCGAGGUCAACUCAGGCUGCACGCCGGGAGCCACGCGCCGCCGGGAACUCGCAGGCACGAGCCACUCUAGGGCCCAGUCCAAGUGAGCCCAACUGGCUUACUCAUGAAUCGUCCACCUCCGUCCAGGAAAAGGGGUUCCAGAUCCUAGCAUGAUGCCAACCAGACUUCCCUGGACAGACAACCCCACCAAUGUGUCCUGGAGCUCUGCUUCCCCCAGAUCCCUUCCCCACUAGGGAAAGAGAGAUACAGGCUGGGAGUAUGGAUCGACCUGUCAAUGCCAUUGUUCAUCAGGGAAGCAAUUACAGAAGCCAGACCUUCCACCUCUGCAUCCCACAGUGACCUUGGCUCCAUACUCCCAGAGGAUUAAAGAAUAGGAAAGCUAUCAAGGGAGGGGAUGGGAUAUGGAGAGCUGCUGGUGGGAAUUGUGUGGAGUUGUGCCCCUCUUAUUCUAUGGUUUAGUCAAUGUUUCCUUUUUAUAAAUAAAAAAAAAUUUUUAAAGA